rnacentral:rRNA from 1 species
AGCGAUGAAACUUUAACAGAACCCUUCGGGGCGAAGAUAAAGUGGAUUAGCGGCGGACGGGUGAGUAACACGUGAGUAACCUGCCUUAGACAUUGGGAUAGCCUCGGGGAACCGGGAUUAAUACCAAAUAAAAUCAUAAUGACACAUGUCAUAACGAUCAAAACUCCGGUGGUCUAAGAUGGACUCGCGUCCCAUUAGCUAGUUGGUAGAGUAAAAGCCUACCAAGGCGACGAUGGGUAGCCGGCCUGAGAGGGUGAACGGCCACAUUGGAACUGAGAAACGGUCCAAACUCCUACGGGAGGCAGCAGUGGGGAAUAUUGCACAAUGGAGGGAACUCUGAUGCAGCGACGCCGCGUGAACGAAGAAGGCUUUCGAGUCGUAAAGUUCUUUUAUAUGGGAAGAUAAUGACGGUACCAUAAGAAAAAGCCCCGGCUAACUACGUGCCAGCAGCCGCGGUAAUACGUAGGGGGCUAGCGUUGUCCGGAAUCACUGGGCGUAAAGGGUUCGCAGGCGGAAAUGCAAGUCAGAUGUAAAAGGCAGUAGCUUAACUACUGUAAGCAUUUGAACUGCAUAUCUUGAGAAGAGUAGAGGUAAGUGGAAUUUUAGUGUAGCGGUGAAUGCGUAGAUAUUAAAAAGAAUACCGGUGGCGAAGCGACUUACUGGGCUCAUUCUGACGCUGAGGAACGAAAGCGUGGGUAGCAAACAGGAUUAGAUACCCUGGU